UCUGGAUCUGUUUGUAAUUCAAAGUUUUCCGUUACAUUACAUUACAAUUGUUUUAUCAAGAAGUCAUAAUAGAAGAAGAAAAAGAUUACAUUACAAUAUUAAACAAAUGUAACACAUGAAAUAUGUUUCAUAUACUGGGCUAUAUAAUAUUUGGAAUUUAUAUUUUUACUUAGCUUAACAGUGUAAUAAAAUUUUUGGUCAAACAACAAAAUAGGUGAGUCAUUAGUUAGUGUCCUUUUAUAUACAAAUAAUCUAAAGAGGAUGCCAAUGAAUAAGGAUUUUAUGAUUGUAACAAUUAAUUGAAUCAACUUUGAACAUAAAUUGAACCUCCAUUAAACUUUGGACGCAAAUUAUGAACAUAUAUCGGACUUACAUAAUCUAUUUUGAUCCAUCUUGAACCUGCAUUGAAACUAUUUUAAAUCUACAUUGGACCUACAUUUGACAAAUUGAACCAAGUUUGACCCAGGAGCGGUGGAAGGUGGACAUAUGGACGGACGUCAAAAUAUAAGCCGAUCUAAAAAGCAGAAGUAUGAAAACUGGGAGAUGACUUCCGCACUGGUCCAAAGUCGACCAAGUCUCUGAGACAAAUGAUAACUAUGGCUCUCGGAUUUGUGCAAACUGCAGUGAUCGAGUCUUCUAGUCGAGAGGGUUGAGAGGGUUAAAUUCUCAAUGGAGGGGGAUGAUGUUUCGUUCAUUGCGCAUGAGUCUACACAGAUAUUCAAGAAAAAUUUUUACAGAACGUUGUAGAGGAAAAGAAGAAAAGGAAAAAAACAUUAACAUUAUACUAUUUUAUUCAUUUUCCAAGAAGUAAAUGGACGUCAUUUUAUAGUGCUUGCGGCAUUUUAACGCAGAGAUAGAAUAAGACCUGCGAGUAGAAAAAUAUAUGAGAAGAAUGAUUUUCAAGAAAUACUUAUAGACGCUUGGCGGUUCGCUCAUAAAAACUUUAUGGCACCGUGGAAAUAAGAACGAAGCAACAGAUAAUUUUACAUUUUGUUAACUCACGCUCACAUAAUUUCAAGGGUAAAGCCGGCCUGACUAGAAAACCUUAAACGUCUAACAGGGAUACGCUUAUGGGGUGAUCUACCCCUACAAAACCCCAUGUCUAACCCUCUUUCUCCAAUUCUGAGCGGAUUGUGAAACCCGCUGCUUUUUUUCAACUCUUAGAUCUGCAGGAUGCCGAAAAAACCGUUCGUAGCAAUCAGUGAGCAUAUAUAUAUUAUAUAAUAGCCUAAAGUUUUUUUUUAAUUCUAUCGUACCUUUUUAGAAAAAGGCAUUAUCUACGCAUUUUUUUUAUGAAAAAUGAAAUUUUAAUGCCGUUCGAUUCAUAUAAUGAAAAAACGAUAUCUAUUUCCGGAAAAUUUAAUAUUUUAUAAUAUAGUCAAAUAACAUACAAU